rnacentral:rRNA from 1 species
AGAGUUUGAUCCUGGCUCAGGACGAACGCUGGCGGCGUGCCUAAUACAUGCAAGUAGAACGCUGAAGAGAGGAGCUUGCUCUUCUUGGAUGAGUUGCGAACGGGUGAGUAACGCGUAGGUAACCUGCCUUGUAGCGGGGGAUAACUAUUGGAAACGAUAGCUAAUACCGCAUAACAAUGGAUGACCCAUGUCAUUUAUUUGAAAGGGGCAAAUGCUCCACUACAAGAUGGACCUGCGUUGUAUUAGCUAGUAGGUGAGGUAACGGCUCACCUAGGCGACGAUACAUAGCCGACCUUAGAGGGUGAUCGGCCACACUGGGACUGAGACACGGCCCAGACUCCUACGGGAGGCAGCAGUAGGGAAUCUUCGGCAAUGGGGGCAACCCUGACCGAGCAACGCCGCGUGAGUGAAGAAGGUUUUCGGAUCGUAAAGCUCUGUUGUAAGUCAAGAACGAGUGUGAGAGUGGAAAGUUCACACUGUGACGGUAGCUUACCAGAAAGGGACGGCUAACUACGUGCCAGCAGCCGCGGUAAUACGUAGGUCCCGAGCGUUGUCCGGAUUUAUUGGGCGUAAAGCGAGCGCAGGCGGUUUGAUAAGUCUGAAGUUAAAGGCUGUGGCUCAACCAUAGUUCGCUUUGGAAACUGUCAAACUUGAGUGCAGAAGGGGAGAGUGGAAUUCCAUGUGUAGCGGUGAAAUGCGUAGAUAUAUGGAGGAACACCGGUGGCGAAAGCGGCUCUCUGGUCUGUAACUGACGCUGAGGCUCGAAAGCGUGGGGAGCGAACAGGAUUAGAUACCCUGGUAGUCCACGCCGUAAACGAUGAGUGCUAGGUGUUGGAUCCUUUCCGGGAUUCAGUGCCGCAGCUAACGCAUUAAGCACUCCGCCUGGGGAGUACGACCGCAAGGUUGAAACUCAAAGGAAUUGACGGGGGCCCGCACAAGCGGUGGAGCAUGUGGUUUAAUUCGAAGCAACGCGAAGAACCUUACCAGGUCUUGACAUCCCGAUGCUAUUUCUAGAGAUAGAAAGUUACUUCGGUACAUCGGUGACAGGUGGUGCAUGGUUGUCGUCAGCUCGUGUCGUGAGGUGUUGGGUUAAGUCCCGCAACGAGCGCAACCCCUAUUGUUAGUUGCCAUCAUUCAGUUGGGCACUCUAGCGAGACUGCCGGUAAUAAACCGGAGGAAGGUGGGGAUGACGUCAAAUCAUCAUGCCCCUUAUGACCUGGGCUACACACGUGCUACAAUGGUUGGUACAACGAGUUGCGAGUCGGUGACGGCAAGCUAAUCUCUUAAAGCCAAUCUCAGUUCGGAUUGUAGGCUGCAACUCGCCUACAUGAAGUCGGAAUCGCUAGUAAUCGCGGAUCAGCACGCCGCGGUGAAUACGUUCCCGGGCCUUGUACACACCGCCCGUCACACCACGAGAGUUUGUAGCGCCCGAAGUCGGUGAGGUAACCUUUUGGAGCCAGCCGCCUAAGGUGGGAUAGAUGAUUGGGGUGAAGUCGUAACAAGGUA